AGUGAACGCUGGCGGUAGGCCUAACACAUGCAAGUCGAACGGCAGCACAGUAAGAGCUUGCUCUUACGGGUGGCGAGUGGCGGACGGGUGAGGAAUACAUCGGAAUCUACUUUUUCGUGGGGGAUAACGUAGGGAAACUUACGCUAAUACCGCAUACGACCUACGGGUGAAAGCAGGGGAUCUUCGGACCUUGCGCGAUAGAAUGAGCCGAUGUCGGAUUAGCUAGUUGGCGGGGUAAAGGCCAACCAAGGCGACGAUCCGUAGCUGGUCUGAGAGGAUGAUCAGCGACACUGGAGCUGAGAGACGAUACAGGCACCUACGGGAGGCAGAGGUGGGGAAUAUUGGAAAAUGGGCGCAAGCCUGAUCCAGCCAUACCGCGUGGAUGAAGAAGGCCUUCGGGUUGUAAAGCCCUUUUGUUGGGAAAGAAAAGCAGCAGGUUAAUACCCCGCUGUUCUGACGGUACCCAAAGAAUAAGCACCGGCUACCUUCGU
rnacentral:rRNA from 1 species